GCAGAAUUCCGUGAACCAUCGAAUCUUUGAACGCAUAUUGCGCCCGAGACUUCGGUCGAGGGCAUGUCUGCCUCAGCGUC
rnacentral:rRNA from 14 species